UCUGUUCCAACCCUAUCGUAAAUAAGUCCAAGAACUUCUCCAUCAUCUAUGAAAUCUAAAACCAACCGAAUUAUGCAGAAAAUUUAGAGGCAAUUCAGUUAAAAGAUUGACUCCCCACAUGGAUAGCAAUUGGUGUGUACAAAGCUCAAUACUCCCAAGAUGUUUCAAUUGUCAAACAGAAAUUCCAAUACCCUCCAAACUACAUGUUCCGUCUUCCCUCCAUUUGACUCCUCCGCUACUUAGUCCCAACUCUCUUCUGUCCAAAAUCUUUUCAAAGCUUUCAAAUCAUCUUCUUUGGCACUCAUUUCUUUUUACCCUUUUUUUUCCUUCAUUGUUCUUAAAGUAGUUGAGAUUAUAAAUGGUUCAAAUUGUGGGUAUUUGAUAUUGCAACAAGCUUAUUUCAAAUGUGCAUAUGAGUGCUUUGACAAAAGAAUAAAGCUUCAGGAGAUAAGGAAGCAUUGAAAUCUCCGUGUUCUUCAAGCUCAGAAUCGUAUUGAAUGUGAGAUGGCCAAGUUUGUUUUCUCUCACCUCCGGUUUCGGAAGCUUUUUGCGUCAUUUUCAAGCUACACUUGCGUAAACACUCUUAGGGUGCGUUUGGUACCCCAUAGAAUUGGGGUUUAGAAUUAGAAUUGGAACCCUAAUUCUAAUUCUUAUGUUUGGAUGCUGCCUUUUCCAUAGAAUUAGCAUUGAAUUCUAAUUCCAAGAGGUUUCAAUUCCAUGAAUUGAAUUCUUUAUCAGACCAAAAGAAUUCUGAUUCCAAUUCCACGUCUAAACCCUAAAAAAUGGGUUUACAUACGGAUCCAAUGUGGGUAAAAAAUAAAAAUCGGGUCAAGUUUAUUCACAUCCCUCUUUCUGUCUAAUUCCCCGCUUUUGCUCGGCUCAAUGGCUCUUGCUCUCCACUGCCGCUUCCAUCUCAACUUUAACAUUUUGCCUCUCGCACCACCAUCACCCCCAUUGCCCUUCGCUCCUCCGAUCAUCCCUCUACCCUUCACCACUCCUGCCAACCCUCCGAGUGCUCUCUUCUUUGGAGAUUCCUAUAUUCUGGGAAGGUGAAAGCGAAUUCAUCCGCUUUUCUCCGCUUGAGCUGGAAUUUUGUGACGGAAUUGUGGUUGAACUUGACUAUGAUUCUGGCAAAUUGGCCACCAGAUUUGUUCAAAGACGGAGAGUUUAUUGUCAUGCGUGGAUAAAAUACUGGAUUCCUGAUUUUGGGAUUAAAGAGAGGAUUGAUCAUAUCCUUUCAGCUCUGUACAAUUGCUUAAGUUUGCAAGUGGCUGCUGAGCGUGUCCUUGUUCUGAAUACUGUGAGAUCCAAGCUGCCUUUCGUAGUUACUACUACAGAUGAUGCCAAAGAUUCUGUAAAGGAGGAAAUUCGCUUGAGGAUGAGUCUCAGGACCAUAUAAAGAGGUAGCAGCUUCAUGAACUAGCCAUGCUGAACUCAAAUUUUAGAGAAGAGAGUCCAGGACCAAGUGGCAGCGUGUCACCUUUCAAUACUAGUGGAAUGAAACGUCCCAAAACUCGGCGUUGAAAUGUUGUAUCUGCUGCUUCAUUGAAGUACUUUCUCUUGACCUCUGAUCCGCAGAGUUAUGCCUGAACAUAUACAAUUUGUGGCUAUCAACUCUCCUUAUGGCUCAAUGCGCAGCUACCUAAGUGAAGAAUUGAUAUGAACAGACAAAGGGGUAUUUGGAGAUAUGCGUUUUUGGCUGGAUUUUUUUUGUUUUUAAGUUUUUAUUUAUUUACUGAAGAACAUAAAACAGAGACAGAAACAGGACAAGGCGGUUGGAGUAAGGGUGGAAAAGGGAGAAACAGAAAUUCGUUUAUACAGUUGGUCUCUUGAGUUAGGAUUUAUUUGUAACUGACAGUUUUUAGCUUUUUGGUUUAUACAGUUGAAGCAUUUGAUCAAGUGUUUUUGUUACCUUUUUAUCAUGCCAUUGGUACUUAAUGGAGGAGUUUGAGUGUUA